rnacentral:rRNA from 1 species
AACGAACGCUGGCGGCAUGCCUAACACAUGCAAGUAGAACGAGAAAUUAGGGUCUAGCGGCGCAGGGGUAGUUACCGACGGGGAAGUAACGCGUAGGUAAGGUACCACGUAGCGAAAGGGGAGCAAAUAAAAGGAUAUGUAAUAGCGCAUAAGAUUUAAUGUCGAUGGAUGGGUGCGCGAAGGAUUCACUUGCUGGUAUGGUAAAUGCCUACCCAGGCGACGAUCCAUAGCUGGUCUGAGCGGAUGAUCAGGCACACUGGGACUGAGACACGGCCCAGACUCCUACGGGAGGCAGCAGUGGGGAAUAUUGGACGAUGGGCGAAAGCCUGAUCCAUCAAUGCCGCGUGAGUGAUGAAGGCCUUAGGGUUGUAAAGCUCUGUUACCCGGGAUGAUAAUGACGGUACCGGGAGAAUAAGCUCCGGCUAACUCCGUG